GUUGCUAUGAAUGAGAUAUGUUUAUACUUGUGUGUAUUUAGCAAUUGUGUGUCCUUUCGUGACAUUUCCAUCCUAAAAAUUGAGGUAUUCAUAGAACAAAGGUAUUUAAAUAAAACUGGUUUUCAGAUGCUGCGCCAUUUUUUAUAUUACAAUUUAGUUCGGUUUAGUUUUAUUGUAAUAGCUAUACGUCAUUUCACUUUGCUUUAGAUGUCUUUAAUCAUGUUUAAUAGUUUUUUUGUUAAUUAAUUAGCUGUUACCGUCUGUAUUCUGGCAGGCACCGCCUUCAACAAAUGCUUAGUUCGUAUAUGACAGUGAGUUUAUUUAAGACAGAUGUUAUCGUUUUUAUUUUUUACUUUUUAGUCUUGUUAUAUUCUCUCUAAGCCUACCUAUACAGAUAAGUCACUUAGUUUUAAAGUCGCUUUUAAUUUUUAUGUGACAUCUAUCGCCAACUUUUCUUAAUUUUCCAGUGUAUUGUAUUUUAACCAAAGAUUCGUGGUAAAAAUUACACAUCCUAGCUCGUGAAAACAAGUAAACACUUUGAAUACUCUGGGUUACUGAAUUUAUAACAGCGUUAUUUCAAUAGAGAAUUUGGCUGGCAAUUAUCUAACACCCGCGAUCCUCUCAUCUAUUUAUAAGAUCCCGUGUCCGUGAGCGCACCACCACACACGGUCACCGCAGUCUGCGUGUACCCGGAGUACAAGUGAUGGUGAUGGUACUAGCGUCAGUGAAAUGUUAUAUAAUAAAUCGCGUGGUAUAUGGCGUGACUACCAUAGUUUUAUGUAAAUCAAUUGAUUUGCCAAAAUGUUGGAUAUUAUAAGUUAGAUGUUAUCAACACUUUAAAUUAAAAUUCAGUUCGGAUAUAAAUCUUGCCUAGCUCUCCAGGUAUUUUCAACAAAAUGCGGCCAAUGCUCUAGAGGGAGAUGAGGACGGUGUAAAGUGUAGUGUUGUGUUAAUUGAUUGUUGAAGUCCUAAACUACUCUCGACCUAAUUAGUGAGAGUCCUACAGAACUGCUGGCUGAGCUGAGAGCACUUCGCUCAGGCGCUCGCGGCGAUCACGAGCUAUGGAGAUAGCGGGACAAUACCUCCAGAAGUCCCUCAAGGGCACCGCGCCACCAGCUCCUCUGCCGCCCAGCACAUACACAUACCCGCCCAGCAGAGUGGCCGAGUGUUUCCCACGAGCACAGGGCGCCACCGCCGCUGAACCCUCCACAGAGACCCACAUCACCUGUGACAGUGACGUGACACAAACUUCAUAUAAAAUACACAACACGCUGUUAUAGUUACUGAAGUGAAGGGCAGCUACUGUAAUGAAGCCAGGAUUGCAUCGGUUAUAACUCACACUUCACAGGGUCAUACUUACAUAAUAUUUUAAUAUUAGCUGGUGUUAAGAAAACGUUUAAAGAGCAAUUUAGUUGAAAUAAUUUACUUUUAAAAAUAAAUUUAAUUAAAAACCUUUUGUAGAAAAUUUAAAUUAGAAAAUUAUCUCUCUGUAGGUACGUAUCAGUUUACGGUACUUUGUAUUAAAAGAAUUUAAAAGUGAAAGUUAA